rnacentral:lncRNA from 1 species
CAAGGUCCGACCUCACUGAUCCAACACCCUCAGCCACUUCAGAGAUAAUCCUGGGACCCUCUUCCGUCCCCUCGUUAGAAGUACCUUGAGGCCGGGGGGCUUGUAUAGACUGAUGAGCCGAGCUCGACCUCCCGUGGCUGGAAGGCCGGGACGACCUGCUGCGUCGAGAGCUGGGCUUAGAAGCCCGAGAAGAGACCGGAGGAGGAGGUGGAGGUCGAAUAG